rnacentral:rRNA from 1 species
CAGCCGCCACGGUAAUACGUAGGUGGCAAGCGUUGUCCGGAAUUAUUGGGCGUAAAGGGCUCGCAGGCGGUUUCUUAAGUCUGAUGUGGAAGCCCCCGGCUCAACCGGGGAGGGUCAUUGGAAACUGGGAAACUUGAGUGCAGAAGAGGAGAGUGGAAUUCCACGUGUAGCGGUGAAAUGCGUAGAGAUGUGGAGGAACACCAGUGGCGAAGGCGACUCUCUGGUCUGUAACUGACGCUGAGGAGCGAAAGCGUGGGGAGCGAACAGGAUUAGAUACCCGCGUAGUCCCUGUCUCUUAUAC